CGCGAGGGAAACAACCCAGAUCGUCAGCUAAGGUCCCAAAAUCGUGUUAAGUCAGAAAGGUUGUGAGGUUUCAUAAACAACUAGGAAGUUGGCUUAGAAGCAGCCAUCUUUUAAAGAGUGCGUAAUAGCUCACUAGUCAAGAGACCUUGCGCCGACAAUGUAACGGGAGUAAAACACGAUACCGAAGCUACGGGUACAUUUAUGUACGUUAGAGGAGCGUUCUUAGGGCAAUGAAGCUAGACUGUAAAGACUAGUGGAGCGCUAAGAAGCGAGAAUGCCGGUAUGAGUAACGAUUCGUAGUGAGAAUCUACGACGCCUAUUGGGGAAGGUUUCCUGGGCAAGGUUCGUCCACCCAGGGUUAGUCAGGACCUAAGGCGAGGCUGAAAAGCGUAGUCGAUGGACAACAGGUUAAUAUUCCUGUACUUUCUUUAAUUGUGAUGGAGUGACGGAGAAGGAUAAGCAUACCUAUUAUUGGAUUUAGGGGUAAGUAGUUACUGGUGAUUGUAGGCAAAUCCGCAAUCUAUAACUGGGAGCUAUGAUGCAUAGGACUUUUGUCUGAAUUUGCCAAUUCCAUGCUUCCUAGAAAAGUUUCUAAACUUAAUUUUAUUGAAACCUGUACCAAGAACGGACACACGUCCCCAAGAUGAGUAUUCUAAGGCGAGCGAGAAAACUAGUGUUAAGGAACUCUGCAAAAUGACCCCGUAAGUUCGCAAGAAGGGGCGCCUAUGGUAACACAUAGGCCACAGUAAAUUAUGAGGGGCAACUGUUUAUCAAAAACACAACUCUCUGCUAAACCGCAAGGUGAUGUAUAGGGGGUGAAGCCUGCCCAGUGCCCGAAGGUUAAGUGGAUGCGUUAGCUUAUGCGAAGCGUUGAAAUGAAGCCCGGGUGAACGGCGGCCGUAACUAUAACGGUCCUAAGGUAGCGAAAUUCCUUGUCGGCUAAAUACUGACCUGCACGAAAGGCAUAAUGAUCUCUCAACUGUCUCAACACUAGACUCGGUGAAAUUAUGGUCCCAGUGAAAACGCUGGGUUCCCGCAUCAAGACGAAAAGACCCCAUGGAGCUUUACUAUAACUUCGUAUUGGAAUUUGGCCUAACAUGUGUAGGAUAGGUGGGAGACUUUGAAGCUGAGACGCCAGUAGCAGUGGAGUCAACCUUGAAAUACCACCCUUGUUAUGUUGAAUUUCUAACUUACCAUCAUAAUCAGGUGGGAGGACAGUGCGUGGUGGGUAGUUUGACUGGGGCGGUCGCCUCCUAAAGAGUAACGGAGGCGUUCAAAGGUACACUCAGUACGGUCAGAAACCGUAUGUAGAGCGCAAAGGCAGAAGUGUGCUUGACUGUGAGACAUACAAGUCGAGCAGGUGCGAAAGCAGGACUUAGUGAUCCGGCUGUACAUUGUGGAAUGGCAGUCGCUCAACGGAUAAAAGUUACCCUGGGGAUAACAGGCUAAUCUUGCCCAAGAGAUCACAUCGACGGCAAGGUUUGGCACCUCGAUGUCGGCUCAUCGCAUCCUGGAGCUGGAGUCGGUUCCAAGGGUUGGGCUGUUCGCCCAUUAAAGCGGUACGCGAGCUGGGUUCAAAACGUCGUGAGACAGUUUGGUCCCUAUCUGAUGUGGGCGUUGGAAUAUUGAUGAGAGCCGCUCUUAGUACGAGAGGACCGGAGUGGACGUACCGCUGGUGUUCCAGUUGUUCCGCCAGGAGCAUGGCUGGGUAGCUAAGUACGGAAAGGAUAACCGCUGAAAGCAUCUAAGUGGGAAGCCUCCUCAGAGAUUAGUAUUCCCUUGAAAUUCCUUAUAGACUAUGAGGUUGAUAGGCUGGAUGUGUAAGCACAGUAAUGUGUUGAGCUGACCAGUACUAAUAAAUUGAAAGGUUUAAAAG
rnacentral:rRNA from 1 species